CAUUUCCCAUCCCUUCACAAAAUUGCCAGGGUAAUUGACUCUUAGAUGAGAUAAGUUUGACUUUCUACCCUGAUUUUGUAACACAAGUUCUUUCGGUCAGGUUCUUUGUUUGAAAACGCACGAUAAAAAUGGCUUUAGAAUGACUUCAGAGGACUCUUUCUGGUGCCAAUAACAGAUCCCAAAGCAGCUCUUAUUUGAGGUGCAUAAUUGGCCAAGUGCUCCAGGGGUUGUAAAGACAGCCUUCCUGUAGUUGGAGUAGACAGAUUUAGCCUCUUACUGAAACUGAAGGCUGCUACGUCGAUAACAAAUCUGAUUCUAACUCUCCCGUGUCACUUCAACCCAAAAGUGCCUUUGUCUCCAGGAGAAAAAGGUUGGAGGCAGGAGACACUACUAAUUGUGGGAGCAAUCCCCAUGGAUACAGAGAAGAAUUGUCUGAGCUGGGGAGUCAAAGCUCUGAUCAAGAUGGGGCUGAGAGGAAAAAUGCCCCCAACAUUCUCAGAGGAAAUUCCAGAGUUGCCAAGGGACAUGGCUUCUCUGCAGGAAUGCUUCCUGUACCUGGCAUUUAAAGACCUGGAAACAUCCUUUCCUCCACUUUCCUAACCCAUGUGUUAAAAAUCUCUCUGUCUGAAGACUAGACUGGACUGUAAGACAUAAAAUGAUACUGGUGAAGAGUGUGCUUCUUAGCUCAAGUAGACAUGUGAGACUAUGUGGGCAGCUGCUGUCCAGAGGCAAGAUGAGAAGGCAGAGGGGGGCAGGAGCUGGUUGAAUGGACACGGGAAAUACAGGGUGGAGAGGAGGAGUGUGCUGUCACAUUAUAGGGAGAGUAGCUAGGGUCAUAUAACAAUGUGUGUAUAAGUUUUUGUAUGAGAAGCUGACUUGAAUUGUAACCUUUCCCUUAAAGCACACACACACAAAAAGAAUCCCCUUCUCUGAGAAGUGUGAAUUUUUUUUUUAAUUUUUUAUUUUAUCUAAACGUCAUCUAAGUUUAUCUUGAAACAUCUAGAAAGAGGGUUUUACCAAAAGUAAUUCUCACAGAUGACAGCAGCUGAAGAGUCAGUCUUGGCCUUCAGGGCAACCAAAAUGGCACAGACAUUUGGACUCUGUUGUCUUAUCCUUGGAGCCCUGGUGGCGCAGUGGUUAACAGCUUGGCUGCUAACAAAAAGAUUGGCAGUUCAAAUCCACCAGCCACUCCUUGCAAACCCUAUGGGGCAGUUCUACUCUGUCCUAUUCCACCUCGUCUAUGAGUUGGAAUUGACUCUACGGCAAUGAUUUUUUUUCCUUAUCCUCGUCAGAGACAGCACUAGAUCCUUUCUGAACUAUGUGAAGUAAGCUGUGGCAAAACUGGCCUUUCUUGUGGUACAAAAUCCAAACUCACAAGUGAGCCUCUCUACCAUCAGUUUGAACUUAUGUUCUGCCCCUCUUCUUUCCUCAUUGUGCAGGGCACCUGUUCCCUCUGCCUCCUCCCACUCCUCCAGCUAUCUGUCUGUCUCAUUUGUGUCAAUUAAGAACUCAAUACUACUUGAUUCAAUUGAAUUACUUUCCCUGUAUAGAAUUCCAACCACAGACUGGACACCAACCAUCACUCCUAUUGCUCAGAAUAAAAACUCUGAAAUGCCAAGGGCAAGCAAGAAAAGAGAAAAGGUCCAUACUAGCUUGGCCAGUGAACCCAAGAAGGAAAGAAUGUCGAGACUGGGUUUCCUAACAGUACCUAGCUAUAUAGUUGGUGGCUUACCAAGAGUCAGCACUGCAUAAACAAAAAGCUUUGGGUCUACUAAGUUCAGUUAAGGCUUUCAGAAGUGGUUCUUAAGGCUUAGAAACCAAGAACCAAGUGGAAGAAGUAAACCUCUUAUACCACUUCCUAGUUUACGAAGUACUUUUUCAGAAGAAUGAUUUUGUCUUUCUGUUCAUUCAGUCAUUGAAUGAAUAUUUAUUGUGCACCUACUAUGUGCCAGGCAGUGUUCUAGAAGCUGAAAUGGUGUUCUAAGAACGGAAAGUAAAACAAAAUUCCUGUCCUCAUAAAACUUACAUUCUAAUGGUGAUGGGGCAGACAAUAAACUAAUAAGUAAACAUGUUGUUAGGUGCUGUCGAGUCGGUUCCAACUCAUAGUGAGUGACCUUGUGUACCACAAAACAAAACACUAAGUAAACAUAGAGAAUAUCAAAGGGUAAUAAGGGUUAUGGAGAAUCAUAAAGCAGGGUUAAGGAGAUGGGGAUUCUGAAGUGGGCAGAAUUGUUGGUUUAUAAAGAUGGUCAGAAAGGAUUCCUUUCUGAGACAUAAAAGAGACGAGGGAGUAAGCCAUACAAAUAUGAGGGGCAGCAGGGGUGGAAAUCAAAGGACAUAUUGCAUUGGGCAAAUCUGCUGCAAGACCUCUUUAAAGUGUUAAAAAAACAAAGAUGUCACUUUGAGGACUAAAGUGCACUGGAUCCAAGCCUCAAUUGCCUCAUAUGCAUUCAAAAGCUAGACGAUGAAUAAGGAAGACCAAAGAAGAAUUGAUGCCUUCAAAUUAUGGUGUUGGCAAAGAAUAUUGAACGUACUAUGGGCUGCCAGAAGAACAAAUCUGUCCUGGAAGAAGUAUAGCCAGAGCUAACAGAUACAUGAGAAAAUGCUCUCGAUCAUUAGCCAUUAGAGAAAUGCAAAUUAAAACUACGAUGAGAUUCCAUCUCACUCCAACAAGGCUGGCAUUAAUCCAAAAAACACAAAAUCAUAAAUGUUGGAGAGGCUGCGGAGAGAUUGGAACUCUUAUACACUGCUGGUGGGAAUGUAAAAUGGUACAACCGCUUUGGAAAUCUAUCUGGCGUUUUCUUAAAAAGUUAGAAAUAGAACUACCAUACAACCCAGAAAUCCCACUCCUCAGAAUGUACCCUAGAGAAAUAAGAGCCUUUACAAGAACAGAUAUAUGCACACCCAUGUUUAUUGCAGCUCUGUUUACAAUAGCAAAAAGCUGGAAGCAACCAAGGUGUCCAUCAACAAAUGAAUGGUUAAAUAAAUUGUGGUAUAUUCACACAAUGGAAUACUACGCACCGAUAAAGAACAGUGACAAAUCUGUGAAACAUUUCAUAACAUGGAGGAACCUGGAAGGCAUUAUGCUGAGUGAAAUUAGUCAGAGGCAAAAGGACAAAUAUUGUAUAAGACCACUAUUAUAAGAUCUUGAGAAAUAGUAUAAACUGAGAAGAACACAUUCUUUUGUGGUUAUGAGGGGGGGAGGGAGGGAGGGUGGG